UUUGUGCGGCCGACUAUUGGCGCCGUGUCUUCUCAUUCUUGUGAGAUAUCUUACAGUUGCCUUUCGGGUGCUUGCGUGAUGUUACCCGACCUACGGGCAGUGGUGCUUCAUACAAAGUUGACUCGCGGUGGACGCCUUUGGGUGUGCUACUGCGGCCAUAUGGCGCUUGCGGCGUUUCCUCUUGGCCCGGCAUGUUUUUGUGCCCGGUGCUAUCAAGGCAGCCUCGCUCUCGCUGUUGGUUUUGGAUGUUGCUCAUGAUAUAGGCUCGUGGCCCUUUUUGGUUGCCUCGGCCUGACCCUAAUAACGCUCUCCGAAUUUGAGAACAACCGGAACAUGUGUUGCCUCUACCUCUCCACAGUUAGUGGUAGGAUUACGCAACAUACUGUGCCGAUCCUCAUACAAGUAGGACGAGCUAGGCCCGCUCAAUUGCGACAACUAGCUCGGUAGUUGGCUCUGCCUUGCCACGCAAGUGGACGGGAGGGCAACUACCGACGCUGGA
rnacentral:misc_RNA from 1 species